rnacentral:rRNA from 1 species
GACGAACGCUGGCGGCGUGCUUAACACAUGCAAGUCGAACGGAAAGGCCCUGCUUUUGUGGGGUGCUCGAGUGUCGAACGGGUGAGUAACACGUGAGUAACCUGCCCUUGACUUUGGGAUAACUUCAGGAAACUGGGGCUAAUACCGGAUAGGAGCUCCUGCUGCAUGGUGGGGGUUGGAAAGUUUCGGCGGUUGGGGAUGGACUCGCGGCUUAUCAGCUUGUUGGUGGGGUAGUGGCUUACCAAGGCUUUGACGGGUAGCCGGCCUGAGAGGGUGACCGGCCACAUUGGGACUGAGAUACGGCCCAGACUCCUACGGGAGGAAGCAGUGGGGAAUAAUGCACAAUGGGCGGAAGACUGAUGCAGCAACGACGCGUGCGGGAUGACGGCCGUCGGGUUGUAGACCGCUUUCGCCUGUGAAGAAGAGUGAGUGACGGUAAUGGGUAAAGAAGCACCGGCUAACUACGUG